AAUCAACGCUGGCGGCGUGCCUAACACAUGCAAGUCGAACGAGAAAGCCUGUAGCAAUACAGGUGAGUACAGUGGCGACCGGGUGAGUAACACGUGGAUAACCUGCCACCGAGUGGGGAAUAACCCUGGGAAACCGGGGCUAAUACCGCAUAACACCCAGCGGCUUCGGCUGCGGGGUUGAAACCUGGCAACGGGGCUUGGUGAGGGGUCCGCGGCCGAUUAGCUAGUUGGUGAGGUAACGGCCCACCAAGGCAAUGAUCGGUAGCCGGCCUGAGAGGGCGGACGGCCACACUGGAACUGCAACACGGUCCAGACUCCUACGGGAGGCAGCAGUGGGGAAUUUUGCGCAAUGGGGGAAACCCUGACGCAGCAACGCCGCGUGGACGAUGAAGCCCCUUGGGGUGUAAAGUCCUUUCGGCAGGGACGAAGCUGGAGCAAUCCAGUUGACGGUACC
rnacentral:rRNA from 1 species